rnacentral:tRNA from 1 species
GGGGGGUGGAUCGGAAGGAUCGCAUAGACUCUAAAUCUAUGUAGCCGGGUGCGACUCCCGGACUCCCCGCCA